GUGAGGAAUAUUGCGCAAUGGAGGCAACUCUGACGCAGCCAUGCCGCGUGCAGGAAGAAGGCGCUACGCGUUGUAAACUGCUUUUAACCGGGAAGAAACCCCAGGACGUGUCCUGGGUUGACGGUACCGGAGGAAUAAGCACCGGCUAACUUUGUGCCAGCAGCCGCGGUAAUACGAAGGGUGCAAGCGUUAUCCGGAUUCAUUGGGUUUAAAGGGUGCGUAGGCGGAGCGUUAAGUCAGUGGUGAAAUCCUGCAGCUUAACUGUAGACUUGCCAUUGAUACUGGCGCUCUUGAGUGCGCUUGAAGUGGGCGGAAUGUGCCGUGUAGCGGUGAAAUGCUUAGAUAUGGCACAGAACACCAAUUGCGAAGGCAGCUCACUAAGGCGAUACUGACGCUGAGGCACGAAAGCGUGGGGAUCGAACAGGAUUAGAUACCCUGGUAGUCC
rnacentral:rRNA from 1 species